AAGAUGAGUCUCAAUGUUUAAGUUUGUUUAUUGGGAAUAUUUGCGGUCCAAAAAUGGUACGAAUUCCACAGGAAGUGAUAGUGUUUAAUUUCAUCUCUGUUCAUCUCGUGAUUGACGUGAUGUGUGGCCGUGACACAUCACAUCACGACUGAAAUGUUUUGAGCUCGUUGCUUCGCUAAUGCACACGAAUCCAAGAUCAGUUUAGGGUAAAAGUUUGCUUCACUCAUCAAGAAUAGAAAAGAACGGAAAAUACUAGAUCUCGAGUCUUGUAGGAAAAACUGUAGCCAUAUUUGAGAUCCUCACAGAAAAGAUCUUAUUCCUACACUCAACACUUGUCUUACUUCAUAAAGAAUCCUCUACAUUUCUUUACUUGUAUCAGCUUCGUUCCAGUAUACCACUGGCAUUCCAAGGUCAGUGUUUUUGUCCAUCCCGGAUUGGCGCAUGCGCAUUCAGUCUUACCAAACUCUUGGAGCUCAUUGGUGAAACGGAAGAAGAGACAUGUUGUCAAAGGUCUUCAAGGUUUUAAGGAGACUUACAAGAGCGGCAACAGGUCGUCAGGAGUACUGCGAAAAAGUGGUUUUCUACAUCAGAAGCCUUGAAAUUGUGGUCUUCUUCUAAUCGAAAAGUCUCGAAAUUUCAUUUAUCGGUAAAGUUCAUCUUCCAGAUAAAGAUGCGUUACAUCCACAUCUGUGGUUUUUCACAUUAACGCGAGAUCCUCUCUUAAAAUAAGUUUUAAUUGUACCUGCAUGUAUUUAAGCGGUCACCUUCGGGACCAUGGACCCUGCCUGGUGUCCCACCGCUAAAUAGAGGUUUCUCUUACACCAUGAAUGAUGGAAAAAGGCAGACAAAUACCAGCUCCCAUGUUGGUGGUUAUAGGCUGAUACUGGAUAAUAAAACCCACUCCUGUACAAAAAAUAUUACAGCAACCAAAACAGUUACUUGAAGGCCUUAUGCUAGUCAAGGCGCUGCGAGAACUUAUGAUGAAAGUGUGCCGAAUUAAUAAAUAAUUUUUUGUCGUGUUU
rnacentral:misc_RNA from 1 species